ensembl:piRNA 21ur-1395 ncRNA
UUAAUCUCUUUGAUCACAAAG